rnacentral:sRNA from 1 species
GGGCUUUUUUUUGGACAGACUUGGUUACCCCCGCCACCUCCGGAACUGGGGCUUGUUACAAAUAGAAGCAGUGGUCCCCUGGGAGGUGCAGUUCUGGGUUCUGGUGUCUCCACCCCUUCCUCACGCUCCCCGGGCAUCCCCAGGCAGCUUACAGUGUUUCUCUUCUCUUCAGCACCGUGAGGGAGUUCCUGCCUGGCGACAGCAGCUCCCAGCAGCACCAGCGGCCUGUCCUGAGCUUCCAUGUGGAUCCCUAUGUUUGCAACCCCUCCCCAGAGUCGCUGCCCAACGUGGUGGUGAAUGGUGUGCUCCAGGGCCUCUACAGCUUCAGCAUCAGCCCAGAUAAAGCCCAGCCAAAGGCGGCCUGUCACCCUGCUCCUCUGCCACCGAUGCCCUGAUCAGUCCAGAGGCCUUUGGCUGCCUCCUAAGAAAGUCAUGUGCCUCUGUCCUAUGAACUCCAUAUAAGGCUGGGUCCUCCUUUGGCCUGGAACCAGGACUUAAUUACCCAGUGCCCAGUUGUGCCACAUUCCCACUCAAGGCUCAGAACUUGGCUCGCAUUGGUAGCUGGAGGUGGUAGAAUCUGCAUGCUCUUAGAGCCCAACAGCCAAGGCAGGGUCAAGAAGAUAAGUAAUAAAAGAGGAAGUCAGCCAGGCGCGGUGGCUCAUGCCUGUAAUCCCAGCACUUUGGGAGGCCAAGGUGGGUGGAUCACCUGAGGUCAGGAGUUCGAGACCAGCCUGACCACCAUGGAGAAACCCCGUCUCUACUAAAAAUACAAAAUUAGCCGGGCAUUGUGGUGGUGCAUGCCUGUAAUCCCAGCUACUCGGGAAGCUGAGGUAGGAGAAUCUCUUUUUUUUUUUUUUUUUUUUUUGAGACGGAGUUUCACUCUUGUUGCCCAGGCUGGAAUGCAAUGGCACGAUCUCGGCUCACGGCAACCCCCGCUUCCCGGGUUCAAGCAAUUCUCCUGCCUCAGCCUCUCGAGUAGCUGGGAUUACAGGCAUCCGCCACCAUGCCCGGCUAAUUUUUGUAUUUUUAAUAGAGACGGGUUUCACCACGUUGGCCAGGCUGGUCUUGUACUCCUGACGUCAGGUGAUCCACCCACCUCGGCUUCCCAAAGUGCUGGGAUUACGGGCGUGAGCCACCGUGCUCGGCCCAAGGCAGGAGAAUCUCUUGAAGCCAGGAGGCGGAAGUUGUGGUGAGCCGAGAUCGCGCCACUGCACUCCAGCCUGGGCAACAAGAGUGAAACUCUGUCUCAAAAUAAAUAAAUAAUAAAGGAAGAAGUCAGCUGGGUGCAGAGGCUCAUGCCUGUAAUCCCAAUACUUUAGGAGGCCAAGGCAGGAGGAUGCUUGAGUCUGGAAGUUUGAGACCAGCCAGCGCAACAUAGUGAGACCUGUAGACCUGUCUCUACCAAAAAAAAAAAAAAAAAAAAAAUCAAUUUAGAGGUAGGCUAUGAAAAAGUACAGAUACAUCCCUUAACAUAGACUGGAGGGUGGUGGCAAAUGUGGAGGCCCAGUAGCUGGCAAAGUUUAGAAGCAGGGGGCAAAAGCUCCUGCCUGACUUUUCCUGGGUAGCUCCUGGGUCAAAAUUUCAGGCAGGAUCCCAGGGAAGGGGCAGGCACCCGUUGCCACAGGAGAGUUGCAGGCAUGUUGGGAUGUAGGCCUAGGGGAGGUGCUGCAGGCUCAAGAACCAGGCCCACACAUUAUAUAUUAAAAAAAAAAAACCCACUUUUUUUUUUAUUGGUCAGUGUUGGUAGGAGUUUGUUACAAAACUGAGUCCAUGGGCCUGUGGAAUGUGAGGGGAGUGGGUCCGCUCCACCAGAUGCCAGCACCGGGGCCAGUGCAGCUCAGAGCCCUGUGGCGGACUACAGGGCCUGCACAGACGGUCACUCAAAGAAAGACGUCCCUGUGCCCUACUCCUUGGCGAUGGCAAAGGGCUUCUCCACCUCGAUCUUGCCGCAGUCUGCGAUGAUCACAUCCUUCAGGGGUUUAUCCCGGCUGUCUGUCUUGGUGCUCUCCACCUUCCGCACCACCUCCUGGAAAAGAAAGGUGGAAGUAGGAGGGCAUGGUGGAUCAGGAGGUCCACCGCUCAGGAGAAAGGCCCCAGCGUAUGGCUCAGGAGGGCUAAGACCCACAAGUGAUCAACAGCACACAAAACUGGAGGCACCAAAAUUCUAACAGACUCCUGGCCAGAGCAGGGAGAAUGCAGAUUUGACGAGGGGGUACAGGAAUUUUGUUCCUUUGAAGUAAGACCCAGGUUGGGCCAAGGGUGAGGAGGAGGAAGAGGGUGACCAGGGCAUGUGGCUUCUCAGGGACACUGCGUUCAGCUGCACUCUGUAUACCUCAGGGGUGGGACCAGCACGUCACUGAGUGAAUGAGGGGAGGGAGGCUCUGGCAGUUGUGCAGCCUUCCUGGCUGGGCUCUGAGGGGGCUGGAAGAAUUUAGAACCUUGGAGGCAUGGAGGUACAGGGUUUAUUCUGGACAGGAGCACUGGGCUGCAUCUGUGGGUUGGGUCCUUUUGGGAAAGGGAUGGACACAUGGAGCUCCUGCCCUGAGGUCUGUGUUGACUCCCCGGUGAGGAUUGCCCAGUAGUAGCCCUUGCUUCCACAACUCACCAUGCCCUCUAGAACUUUGCCAAACACCACAUGCUUGCCAUCUAGCCAGGCUGUCUUGACUGUCGUGAUGAAGAACUGGGAGCCGUUGGUGUCUUUGCCUGCGUUGGCCAUGCUCACCCAGCCAGGCCCGUAGUGCUUCAGUUUGAAGUUCUCAUCGGGGAAGCGCUCACCGUAGAUGCUCUUUCCUGGGAAAAAAGACAGAGCAGGUCAGGGGCGCUGGAUUGCGCCAAACCAAGCAGACAUUCGGGGCCAGGACUGAGGGGGCUUAACCUGUCCUCUGUGCCAGGCUAGGCUGGAGUGGACUACAAGGACAUAAAAGCUGCGUCCUUCCUAUCUUCUGGCCUCAGAGCCAAGCCAUGCUGACUGAGGCCAAGUGGGGCAUCAGGCCAGGCUGAUGUGGUGAACAGCUCACAGAAGGAUUACUUCAAGAAGAUAGUUUUGUGGCUUUUAAAUAAGGCGCAUGUUAUCAGCUCCCCUUAGCUAUAGCCCAGGCCUGCCACGGAGGGACUUUGGUGGAGGGAAGUGCCGUGCAGGAUGCAGGGGAGUCAACAGGGUCGGAACUCUCCAGAAAAGGAGGACUGCUGUGGCUGACCAGCCUGUUUUCCUAUGAGCACAAAAGACACAGGCAUAGCUGCAGAGGAGAAAGCAGCCAGAGAUGGGUGGGGAGGGGCAGAAAAGAGGGGCUGCCCCUUGGAUUCCGGAGAGUCAAAGCCUCUUAACAAGGAAUGAACAGGAAUAAAAGACAGCUGUGAGUGU